rnacentral:rRNA from 1 species
UACGAAGGGGGCUAGCGUUGCUCGGAAUCACUGGGCGUAAAGGGUGCGUAGGCGGGUCUUUAAGUUAGGGGUGAAAUCCUGGAGCUCAACUCCAGAACUGCCUUUGAUACUGAAGAUCUUGAGUUCGGGAGAGGUGAGUGGAACUGCGAGUGUAGAGGUGAAAUUCGUAGAUAUUCGCAAGAACACCAGUGGCGAAGGCGGCUCACUGGCCCGAUACUGACGCUGAGGCACGAAAGCGUGGUGAGCAAACAGG